rnacentral:rRNA from 1 species
CUACGGGGUGCUCCAGUAGGGAAUAUUGGACAAUGGGCGAAAGCCUGAUCCAGCCAUGCCGCGUGAGUGAUGAAGGCCUUAGGGUUGUAAAGCUCUUUCAGUGGGGAAGAUAAUGACGGUACCCACAGAAGAAGCCCCGGCUAACUUCGUACCAGCAGCCGCGGUAAUACGAAGGGGGCUAGCGUUGUUCGGAUUUACUGGGCGUAAAGCGCAAGUAGGCGGAUCGUUAAGUCGGGGGUGAAAUCCUGGAGCUCAGCUCCAGAACUGCCUUCGAUACUGGCGAUCUUGAGUCCGGAAGAGGUGAGUGGAACUCCUAGUGUAGAGGUGGAAUUCGUAGAUAUUAGGAAGAACACCAGUGGCGAAGGCGGCUCACUGGUCCGGUACUGACGCUGAGGUGCGAAAGCGUGGGGAGCAAACAGGAUUAGAUACCCCGGUAGUC